rfam:Schistosoma mansoni strain Puerto Rico chromosome W, complete genome
AUCCGGCCGACGAGUCCUAAAUGGGACGAAACGCGCGUCCUGAAU